rnacentral:rRNA from 1 species
UAUCUCUGUAGAGUCUGCAUAUCAAUAAGCGGAGGAAAAGAAACUAACAAGGAUUCCCUUAGUAACGGCGAGUGAAGCGGGAAGAGCUCAAAUUUGAAAUCUUCAAGGUUCUACCUUGACGAAUUGUAGUUUAAAGAAGUGUUUUCUGUUAGAUGAGUAGCAAAAGUUCCUUGGAAUGGGACAUCAUAGAGGGUGAGAAUCCCGUAUUUGGUUAUUCAUUCUAGCUUUGUGAUACACUUUCAAAGAGUCGGAUUGUUUGGGAAUGCAGUCCAAAAUGGGUGGUAAAUUUCAUCUAAAGCUAAAUAUUGGCGAGAGACCGAUAGCGAACAAGUACCGUGAGGGAAAGAUGAGAAGAACUUUGAAAAGAGAGUUAAACAGUACGUGAAAUUGUCAAAAGGGAAGCGUUUGACACCAGUGUUGUUUUUCCGAAAAUCAAUUACGAAUGGCUUGAUUUUGUGUCGUAUUGACCUUAUCAGCUUUCUUCACUUUUUUCGAGUCUUUCUUAAUGCACUUUUCGGUUAACAAGUCAACAUCAAUUUCUUUUGUUGUAAAAGAGUAUUCGGAAGGUGGCUUUCUUUUCGGAGAAAGUGUUUAUAGCCCUAUACUUCUACAAUCGGAGAGAUUGAGGUCUGCAGCGUAGAUCCUUCGGGGUUAGAUACACUUGUGCUAAGUUGUAGCUUUUCAUAGACAACUUGUUGUCUAUGUUUAGUCAUGCGGCUUACUCGCUUGUGCUAUUUUACCUACGCUUAGGAUGUUGACUGAUAUGUAGUCGUA